rnacentral:tRNA from 4 species
GCCUUUGUAGUGAAACGGAUUAUCACAUCGACCUUCUAAGUCGAGAUUUCUGGUUCGAGUCCAGACUGAGGUA